ensembl:lncRNA
AAUGUUGAUAUUUUAUUAAAAAAAUUUAUUUUACAGAAAAGGGAAACACAGGAACAGGAGAACGGUAAGAUCUUAUUCCACAUUUUUCACUUUUGUAAAUUUGUAACAUAACUUUAUUAAUGUCUAUUAAGUCUGUCUUCUAUGAAGAGUCUUAAUACGGAGUCUAAACAUUAUGCAAUAUAAAAUAUAAGGAUCAAAAGUGUAUUCAGUAGCUUGCUCCUCUGGUGUUGUGUUUCUGGUUGUGUGUGUGUCUGGUUGUGUGUGUGUAUGGUUGUGUCUGGUUGUGUGUCCGGUUGUGACCUGAGAGUACCCAGCUGCAGAGCUGCUCCACUGGGCUUCAGUCUUCAGUGAGUGUUGCUGCAUGUGGAGGCUGGCUGUAUGUCCUGACUCUCUGCUGCCUUCUCUCCCAGUGACUACACCACUAAGGUCCACUGACGGUCCUGAACCAACCAGGGACCAACAAGAAUGUACCAUAACUAUGGAGAAUCACAAUGGUGUCCAGAGUCCAGCCCGACCCUCAAGCCUCUCACAUAAUGGAUCUGUGUCGGUCUCAGUCCAUUGUGAGGACGAUCCUAUUGUUUCACCUUCUUCUGACAAAUGUACCAUCACUGUAAAUGGGUGCGGUACGGUUCGGUUCGCCUCAGUCCGGUAGGGAGGGGGCGGUAUAGCCCAGCUCAGUUCCGAGGUCGUGUUUCCACCGCCGACAGUACCCUUUAAGGUACGCCGGAUGUCGAUCGCCGCGGAAGCUACGUAAACAUCGUAAACAACGUCUUCCUCCCCAAGAAUGCAGAGGAACGUCUCCACCUCCUUGUUCGCCCAAGCAAGCGUUUUAUGCGACAUGUUCAUUGUAAAGAAUACCGGAAGUGACGAUUCUGUCGACCAAUCAACGGAGGGUGUGUGUAACU